UAAAUUGCCUUGAUGAUGGUAAAUUUUCUUAAUAAAGCAAGAAAAAUAUACACUAGCAUGGAGCCAAAUAAAUCGUCCUUGUUCGUUGGGCUUUACUAGGAGCCCUGUGUUGAAGUGAAGCACGCUAUAGCCAAGCAGUUCUAUUUGAAGGAUUAGUAGUUUUAGGUUAUUGUAAUCUGAAUAGCCUGAUCCUGCGCCAAACCAUUUCCAUGGCACUGUCC
rnacentral:lncRNA from 1 species